UGGGGAAUAUUGGGCAAUGGGCGAAAGCCUGACCCAGCAACGCCGCGUGAAGGAAGAAGGCUUUCGGGUUGUAAACUUCUUUUAUGUGGGACGAAAAAAAUGACGGUAACACAUGAAUAAGCCACGGCUAACUACGUGCCAGCAGCCGCGGUAAUACGUAGGUGGCCAGCGUUGUCCGGAUUUACUGGGGGUAAAGGGAGCGUAGGCGGGAAUGCAAGUCAGAUGUGAAAUCCAUGGGCGCAACCCAUGAACUGCAUUUGAAACUACAUUUCUUGAGUGAUGGAGAGGCAAGUGGAAUUCCUAGUGUAGCGGUGAAAUGCGUAGAUAUUAGGAGGAACACCAGUGGCGAAGGCGACUUGCUGGACAUUAACUGACGCUGAGGCGCGAAAGCGUGGGGAGCAAACA
rnacentral:rRNA from 1 species